rnacentral:rRNA from 1 species
GGUUGCGAUCAUACCAGCACUAAUGCACCGGAUCCCAUCAGAACUCCGCAGUUAAGCGUGCUUGGGCGAGAAUAGUACUAGGAUGGGUGACCCCCUGGGAAGUCCUCGUGUUGCAACCC